rnacentral:rRNA from 1 species
AGUGAACGCUGGCGGUAGGCCUAACACAUGCAAGUCGAACGGCAGCACAGUAAGAGCUUGCUCUUACGGGUGGCGAGUGGCGGACGGGUGAGGAAUACAUCGGAAUCUACUUUUUCGUGGGGGAUAACGUAGGGAAACUUACGCUAAUACCGCAUACGACCUACGGGUGAAAGCAGGGGAUCUUCGGACCUUGCGCGAUUGAAUUAGACGAUGUCGGAUUAGCUAGUUGGCGGGGUAAAGGCCCACCAAGGCGACGAUCCGUAGCUGACCUGAGAGGAUGAUCAGCCACACUGGAACUGAGACACGGUCCAGACUCCUACGGGAGGCAGCAGUGGGGAAUAUUGGACAAUGGGCGAAAGCCUGAUCCAGCAACACCGCGUGAGUGAAGAAGGUCUUCGGGUUGUAAAGCUCUGUUGUUGGGAAAGAAAAGAAGCAUGUGAAUCCCCGGCCGUUCUGACGGUACCCAAAGAAUAAGCAACGGCUAACUUCGUG